GGAAAUGUGGCCUAGUGGUAGAGUGCUUGCCUAGCAUGCAUGAAGCCCUGGGUUCAAUUCCUCAGUACCA
rnacentral:tRNA from 1 species